rnacentral:lncRNA from 1 species
UGCUUCAGAUGCUUGAAACUGAAUUUUCACUCAAUUUGGCUUGAAGCUCAGAUUACUUCCAAUGAAACCAUCCUUUAAAGCUGAAUUUCAUGCAUUCAUGCCAUGUUUCUUUCAGAUAAAGAGAGAAUUAUCCACGAAGCCUUUGAGAGAAGCACUGGAUGAUCAGACGCUUCCGAUUUGCUGGAAAGGACGGAAACCUUUCAAAAGCGUACGUGAUGUCAAGAAAUACUUCAAGACCUUUGCAUUGAGCUUUGCGAAUGACGGAAAAUCUAAAACUCAGCUUGAAUUCCCACCAGAAGCUUAUCUUAUAGUAUCAGUAAGUCCACCCUUGAACAGUUUUUCCACCUUUUGUUUUCAAGUUCAAUCUCUGAUGCAGUCAUAAUGAGCCUUUGUGUUUCAAUGAAUGCUGGCAAAAUCUUUCCAGUCUAAGGGAAACGCCUGCUUGGGAGUUCUAAAUGGUACAGAAGUAGGUCUGAAUGAUCUGAAUGUCAUUGGAGGUAAUGUUUUCUGUAUAAUUUGGAGCAUAGCUUGAAAUAUUGAGAAAAUCAUCCUACCACCUGGCUUAAAAUUCCUUACAAUUUCCUUUCUUUUGGCUUUAUUAGACAUAUCAAUGCAAGACAGAGUGGUGAUUUAUGACAACGAGAAGCAACUGAUUGGAUGGGCACCUGGAAAUUGCGACAGGCUUCCUAAAUCCAGAAGCAUUAUCAUUUGAUGACAGGUGUUCUAAACGUUAAAAAAAAUUGUCCUGUACAGAAAGCUGCUAAGCUGUAACAUUGUAUUCUUCCACCAUUACAGCAGAUUCCUUGUAAAGUAAUACUAUGUAUAUGUGGUCUGGUGAAUCAGACCCCACAAUUAUACUUGAUGGGUUAUGAAAAUUUAAUAAAAUAAUGAGCCAUACAAAUUAUUUUAAUCUCCCUUGUAUCUUUUAAUUCUGAAUUGUGGAAAUUCUUAUCUGAUAAUACAAUAAAAAAAGAAGAAAGACGUUGAUGCUCGAUUAGCAUCCCAACCAAAUAUCCAAGUGUGAAGCUCGGUUGGGUCACAGCAGUCCCUCCCCACCAAGCUAACUUUUUUUUUUCUUAGCUUUGUAUAAUCUCAUUUACUAUUUAUAUACAGUAUUUUUUUCAUAUAUUUUUCAGAUAUUUUCAAGAUAUUUUUCAAACUAUAUAUUAUUUGAUUUUCAAAAAUAAUAAAGAUUGAUUAUUCAUCCAAAAACACUAUACUUAUCUUCUUUUCAAUGCACAUAGAACACACUCAACAUGAUAUAUAGAACAUAUUAAUUUUUUUGUACAACUUAGACUCAUAACUCCUCAACAGUUUAACUGAGAAGUCUGUUUAGUGUUUAGCUUCUGAUUUGUGCUGAUAAAAAGCAAAGAAAAAGGUAAGAUUAGAAAUUUUUAGCAUUGUAGUUGAACUAUUUUUAGAAACUGAACGUUAUCAAAAUAAUAAAAAUUCAACGGAAAAGGAUUUCUUCAAGCUCUUGCCAAUAGCAUUUUCUACUGACCGACAUGUAGUACAAAUAUUUUGCUUCAUAAAUUUGGGGAAUCAUAAUUAUUGAUAUAAAACAGAAAAGUAAAAAAUUUAAGUUUCCCUUGGAACAAUCAUUAAUGAGACCGGAUGCAAAGAUUUAUAAUUGUUAGACGACAGGUUGUUUUAGAGCAAAAACUUGUGAAACAAUUAAUAGAGUCCAUGCUAAAUAGUUAGCAUUUUUGAGAUUAUACUUAUUUUAAUUUAGAGCAAAAACUCUAAAAAAUUUUAGCAUUAUACUUAUCUCAUUUUUGAGAUUUUUUUAGCUUUGAAUUAAGUUUUUUAAUAUUUUUAAAUCUUGUUGAUGUGAAAAAUAGUUUUUUAGAAAUAAAAAAAAUAUAUUUUAAUUUAUUUCAAAAUAAAAAAAAUACUUUAAAAUAUAAUAUCUACUAUAUUCUCAAACAAUCCAGCUACGUAACAUGCAACAACCGCACCCUAAGCAAGUGAAUUGCAUCUAAUGCAACAGCCCCACUAACUUCACGUACAGGUGUUUAAAAAAAGAAAAAAAUUAUAAACCUGUAAAUUUGGGUGUAAAUUUAUGAUUUUAACAGAGUUUAUUAAUUUUACAUUAGUCAAGUUUAAUUUUAUUAUUUUUAAAUUUUUUAAUUUGAAUUUACAUAUUAGAUAUAUAUUAACCUGUCAACUCGCGAGAAACAAUAGUAAAUUAAAAUUUAAAACCUACUUGCUUAUGAUUUUAAAAGUUAUUCCUUUUAAUUUUGAAAUGUAUAAGCUAAUAGCUUGAGUAGAGUUGACUGUUAAUUCUGUCUGAUACGCAGUAUGCCUUUUAAAAGCAUAAAAUUUAACUAAAAAUGAAGACAUUUUAGAAAGAGAAAAAAAAAACACAAUUAAAAUAUCAUUAAAGUCUAUUAUAAGGAUGAAAUUAAAAAUAAAUAUAUAUAAAUUAGAUUUUUUUAAACUAAAAGACUUAUUAAUUAUUUUACUAAAAAUAUAAGGACUGGAUAACGGUUUGCUCAUAAAACAGAAGAGAAGUCUCCAUGACUCAAUCCUCGAGCUUGGAAGUUGGAAGGCAAGCCACCAUGGAGGUGAAGACUAUACCAUUCCAUUUUAUUGAUUUGGCUUUGUUUCUAAUGUCUCAUGGAAGUUUCCAUGAAAUUGCCAUGAUAAUUCAGCUAAACCAUGUUGAGAGAUCAGAGAUCAGAGUCUCCUACUUAGAAUAGAGGAUACGUAGAUAUUAGCUUUCCCAUUGUAAUUAUGUUUCCUACUUAGAAUAGGAGAUCUGCAGAAUUCUUCUUUCCUAUUGUAAAGCAAUCGUCUUGUAUAAAUAUGUGAUACAGUAUCAAUAAUGCAUUGCUGCAUUGAAUUCAAUCUCUUCUUUAUUUCUUUACAUGGUAUCAGAGUAGGACUAGCCUUGCCAUUAAUUAUACACAUCUGUGUUUGUGCCUAGAUGAAAAGGCAAUUUAUAUACCUUAACUUGCUGCAAAUUCUUUUAGUUGCCUUUACAUUUAUUCUCAAAAAAGAGAUAGUUCUAAAUCCACCAACAUGAUCCUCCUAUCUCACUGGAGGAAAAGAAUAAAAGAACCUUUAACAAAACAUCACAUUUGAAGAAAUCUCAAUUUUUUAAUUGGUAAUUAAGUCAAGAUUUCAAGAACCAAGCAAUACCCAUGAAUCCGUAAUCGUCAAGCAAAAGCCCCCAUGUCAAUAAAAACAAAUUUGGACUCAUACGGGCUUCUCACAAAUCAAUCAAUACAAGUGAAUUGACCAAGUCUAAGUUUUCUUUCAGACAUUUAUCAAAUAAGUUGUAGUGCGUUAAUUAAUCACCAGAAACAACCACUCAGUGACUGUCAAAACAGAGAGAAAUGGGAAAAGAAAAGGUGGGUCUUUGGGUGGUGGGGGUGUUAGUGCUAGUUUUGAUUUUAGGGUUAUCAGCUGCUAGUGAUGACAGGCAGCAAAGAUGGAGAAAGGCUAUGAUGUCAGGUGAAACAAUGGGUUCAUCAAUGUUGAUGAAUAGAGUUCCAUCAUCCAUUGUCUUACCACUUCAUGGGAAUGUCUAUCCUACUGGGUAAGCGCAUAACUGAAAUGGGUUUUGACUUUUUUGUUGUUUUUUUUUUUGUUGCCAAGUAUGCUUCCUUGGGAUUUAGCUAUGUUUCAUGGUUCCAAUAUUUUCUCGUAGGAGUUUAUUUGUCUUUGAUUCUUUUUAGUUCUAUCAAUUGAAAUUUCAUAACCUUCAUGGAUAGCUAUGCAAUAAUUCAUGGAGUUUUGUGUUCAUCUGGAGUCCGGACUGUAACUGCAUAACUGAAUCGUUUGUUGCUAAAAUUACAGAGUUUCAUUGUGCAGGUUCUAUAAUGUGACCCUCAACAUUGGCCAACCAUCAAAACCUUACUUUCUCGAUGUAGAUACUGGAAGUGAUCUUACAUGGCUCCAAUGUGAUGUUCCCCGUGCCCAAUGCACAGAGGUAAACAUCAUUAUGACAGGUUUUCUCUGUUUUGUCCAACCAGUUUAUUAACAGUUUAUGAAAAAAAAAUUAAUUUAGCAUUCAUUUCAUGAUGUUCAUCACAUGAUCAAAUGGUCAAACCUGCACGGUCACCAUGGUGUCUUAAGCUAAACUUGAAGGAUGAAAUUAUUGUAUAAUGCUGCAACUCACAGAUGACUCUCUAGUUAUUUAUCCAGUUUUGAUUGAUGUGGUUAGUUUCAACAUAGUUUUGUUACUUGUUUUAUGGUAAAUCUGUAAACUUCUGCUGCUCCGUCAAAGGCAAAUUUCCCAGCGUUUGCUCUAUGGUUUGUCUUCGAUCUUGCAACUAUCAUUGUAUUUCAAACUUGCAUGUGAUUCUAAGUAGUUUUGAUAUCCUAUGCUUGAUUUUAUGCUCUUUCAAUAACUGAGUAACGUGAUUACUUUUCAUUUACAGGCACCGCAUCCAUAUUACAAACCCAGUAACAAUCUAGUGGCUUGUAAGGACCCCAUUUGUCAAUCCUUGCACACCGGUGGUGACCAAAGAUGUGAAAACCCAGGACAGUGUGACUAUGAGGUUGAGUAUGCUGAUGGUGGAUCAUCCCUUGGCGUCCUUGUCAAGGAUGCCUUUAAUCUCAACUUUACAAGUGAAAAGCGCCAGAGUCCUCUUCUGGCCCUUGGGUUGUUUUCUUUGCUUUCUUUCUUUAUUAAAACUUUACGAGGCUCGAUGCAUUUUUCAUUUGGUCGGCAGGCAUGCAUAAUCUAAAUCAUUUGCUCUCUCUGUUCGUUUUCUCCUCGAACAGGUGUGGAUAUGAUCAGCUUCCUGGUGGGACUUAUCAUCCCAUAGACGGAGUGCUUGGUCUUGGCCGGGGAAAACCUAGCAUUGUAUCACAGCUUAGUGGUCUGGGUUUAGUGAGAAAUGUGAUUGGACACUGUUUGAGUGGGCGCGGUGGAGGAUUCCUCUUCUUCGGGGAUGAUCUUUAUGAUUCAUCUCGUGUAGCUUGGACACCAAUGUCACCCAAUGCGUAAUUAGGCCUCAUGAACUUCCUUUCAUCUUCUCAAAGUUUAGCUUUUAUAGUUCAUGUCUUCAUAUUCUUAUGGUAAAUCCUCAUUGUGCAUGGUAGGAAACACUAUUCACCUGGAUUUGCUGAAUUGACUUUUGAUGGGAAAACUACUGGGUUCAAAAACCUGAUCGUAGCUUUUGAUAGUGGGGCCUCUUAUACUUACCUUAAUUCUCAGGUGUAUCAAGGUCUAAUUUCUCUGGUAAGUGGAAAAACUUCUCAUAAAAUAAGCCAAACAUGGAGUAACAUUAAGAACUAAGAGCCUGACAUUUGCAUUGGUGCAACUUGAGCAGAGUCUGUCAUCAUCACCUUAAUUUUGCACUACAUUUCUCAAAACCUGAAAUCAUUGCUCACUGAAUUUGAAAUCAUUUACAUCUACGAGAAAAAGAUUCCUUAAUUUUGCAAUGUAUUUGUUUCCUUAAUUUGCAGUUUAAUUUCCCACUCAAACAUUAACUUAAUUGUCUAGAUGAUAGAAGGAUAUCAGUGGUCACAUGCUUCAGAUGCUUGAAACUGAAUUUUCACUCAAUUUGGCUUGAAGCUCAGAUUACUUCCAAUGAAACCAUCCUUUAAAGCUGAAUUUCAUGCAUUCAUGCCAUGUUUCUUUCAGAUAAAGAGAGAAUUAUCCACGAAGCCUUUGAGAGAAGCACUGGAUGAUCAGACGCUUCCGAUUUGCUGGAAAGGACGGAAACCUUUCAAAAGCGUACGUGAUGUCAAGAAAUACUUCAAGACCUUUGCAUUGAGCUUUGCGAAUGACGGAAAAUCUAAAACUCAGCUUGAAUUCCCACC